AGAGCGCAGGGCGGAUGCCUUGGCACCGUAAGCCGAUGAAGGACGUGACAAGCUGCGAAAAGCUGCGGAGAGGAGCAAAUAUCCAAUGAUCCGCAGAUAUCCGAAUGGGGAAACCUGGCCGGGGUAAAUGCCCGGUCGACCGUACAUGAAUUCAUAGUGUGCGGCUGGGAACGACGUGAAUUGAAACAUCUUAGUAGCGUCAGGAAAAGAAAUCAAACGAGAUUCCGCUAGUAGUGGCGAGCGAAUGCGGAAGAGGCCAAACCGCAAAACUUCGGUUUUGCGGGGUUAAGGACCAUCGGAAGGGUGAAACUUGUUAGCAGAAUGAGCUGCUGGAAAGCAGAGUCCAAAGAGCGUAAAAGUCGCGUAUGCGAAAACGAGAGAAGCCCGGAUGGCACCAGAGUACCACGAGACACGAGAAACCUUGUGGGAAGUCGGGGGGACCACCCUCCAAGCCUAAACACUUACGGUGACCGAUAGUGAAGCAGUACUGUGAAGGAAAGGUGAAAAGAACCCCGGGAGGGGAGUGAAAGAGAACCUGAAACCCUGUGUUUACAAGCAGUCGAAGAGCGUUAAGGCUCGACGGCGUACUUUUUGUAGAACGGUCCGACGAGUUGCGGUAUGUGGCAAGGUUAAGCACUGGAGGUGCGGAGCCGAAGCGAAAGCGAGUUUUAAUAGAGCGAGAAGUCACAUGCUGCAGACCCGAAACCGGGUGACCUAUCCAUGAGCAGGUUGAAAGCGAGGUAAAACUCGCCGGAGGACCGAACUCGUAUCUGUUGAAAAAGGUUGAGAUGACUUGUGGAUAGCGGAGAAAUUCCAAUCGAACCCGGAGAUAGCUGGUUCUCCCCGAAAUAGCUUUAGGGCUAGCCUCGCAGAGAGUCUACCGGAGGUAGAGCACUGAAUGGUCUAGGGGCCUUACCAGGUUACCGAAACUUAUCAAACUCCAAAUGCCGGCAAGAUAGCUGCGGGAGUCAGUCCAUGACAGAUAAGUGCCAUGGACAAAAGGGAAACAGCCCAGACCGCCAGCUAAGGUCCCCAAAUGUUCGUUAAGUGGAAAAGGAUGUGGAUUUGCAAAAACAGCCAGGAUGUUGGCUCAGAAGCAGCCACUCAUUUAAAGAGUGCGUAACAGCUCACUGGUCGAGUGAGUCUGCGCCGAAGAUAUACGGGGCUAAACGAACUACCGAAGCUGCGGAAUUCCAAUGGGAUUGGUAGGGGAGCGUACCCCAGGGAGCAGAAGCACGAUCGAAAGGACGUGUGGAUCCAAGGGUAGUGAGAAUGUCGGAAUAAGUAACGAGAGCAAGGUGAGAAUCCUUGCCGUCGAAAAUCCAAGGUUUCCUGGGGAAGGUUCGUCCGCCCAGGGUAAGUCGGGACCUAAGGUCAGGCCUAAAGGCGUAGCCGAUGGAGAACAGGUUGAAAGUCCUGUACCGCCGGUUCAUGUUUGACAGAAGCAGGGACGCAGGAGGAUAACUGGAGCACGCGACAGGAAGAGCGUGUCUAAGCAGAGUAGCGGUCUGGUAGUAAAGCACGCCAGGCAACGCGAAGCUGUGAUGGGGAGGGAAAAUUCCAAAGUACCGAAGCCAGUCAUUCCACACUGACGAGAAAAGCUGCUAUGGAGUGGACAGGCGCCCGUACCGCAAACCGACACAGGUAGAUGAGGAGAGAAUCCUAAGACGAGCGGGCUAAGCAUUGUUAAGGAACUCGGCAAAUUAACCCCGUAAGUUCGCAAGAAGGGGCGCCUGCUGAAAGGCAGGCCGCAGUGAAAUGGCCCGAGCAACUGUUUAGCAAAAACACAGGCUUCCGCGAAAUCGAAAGAUGAAGUAUGGGGGCUGACGCCUGCCCGGUGCACGGCGGCCGUAACUAUAACGGUCCUAAGGUAGCGAAAUUCCUUGUCAGGUAAGUUCUGACCCGCACGAAUGGCGUAAUGACUUGGGCACUGUCUCAACAAUGCACCCGGUGAAAUUGUAGUACUUGUGAAGAUGCAAGUUACCCGCGAUGGGACGGAGAGACCCCAUGGAGCUUCACUGUAGAUUGUUACUGGGACUCGGUAUUGUCUGUACAGGAUAGGUGGGAGACUAAGAAGCAUUGGCGUCAGCUGGUGUGGAGUCAACCUUGGAAUACCACUCUGACAGUACUGAUUCUCUAACCAGAGUCCGUAAACCGGACAUGGGACAAUGGCAGUCGGGCAGUUUGACUGGGGCGGUCGCCUCCUAAAAAGUAACGGAGGCGUUCAAAGGUCACCUCAGCACGGUCGGAAAUCGUGCAUUGAGUGCAAAGGCAUAAGGUGGCUUAACUGCGAGACCGACAAGUCGAGCAGAUGCGAAAGCAGGACUUAGUGAUCCGGCGGUAGAAAGUGGAAUUGCCGUCGCUCAACGGACAAAAGUUACCCUGGGGAUAACAGGCUUAUUCCCCCCAAGAGUUCACAUCGACGGGGGAGUUUGGCACCUCGAUGUCGGCUCAUCACAUCCUGGGGCUGUAGCAGGUCCCAAGGGUUCGGCUGUUCGCCGAUUAAAGUGGUACGCGAGCUGGGUUCAGAACGUCGUGAGACAGUUCGGUCCCUAUCUAUCGUGGGCGCAGGAAAUUUGCGAGGAGCUGUCCCUAGUACGAGAGGACCGGGAUGGACAAACCUAUGGUGAACCGGUUGUCACGCCAGUGGCACCGCCGGGUAGCUAAGUUUGGCUGGGAUAAACGCUGAAAGCAUCUAAGUGUGAAGCCCCCCUCAAGAUGAGAUUUCCCCACGUAAGUGAUAAGACCCCUUCAAGACCAGGAGGUUGA
rnacentral:rRNA from 1 species